UACGAAGGGGACUAGCGUUGUUCGGAAUCACUGGGCGUAAAGCGCACGUAGGCGGAUAUGUCAGUCAGGGGUGAAAUCCCCGGGGCUUAACCUCGGAACUGCCUUUGAUACAGCAUAUCUUGAGUCCGAUAGAGGUGGGUGGAAUUCCUAGUGUAGAGGUGAAAUUCGUAGAUAUUAGGAAGAACACCGGUGGCGAAGGCGGCCCACUGGAUCGGUACUGACGCUGAGGUGCGAAAGCGUGGGGAGCAAACAGG
rnacentral:rRNA from 1 species